UCCCUGGUGGUCCAGUGGCUAAGACUCUUCGCUCCCAAUGCAGGGGGCCUGGGUUCGAUCCCUGGUCAGAGAG
rnacentral:tRNA from 1 species